AGUUGAAUUUGUGUCUUGCGCUGUUGGUUCAUCGCUGUUUGCGGUGUUUAACUGACACGUUGUGAGACGUCUUGCCGGAAGGGCAUGGUAUAUGUUUUAUUUGUCUUCAUAAUAUGCACUAUAAUGAUUGUAUGUAUUGUUUAAUAGCUUUAUAUAUUGAUUGUUAUUAGUUGUUAUAUUGUGUAUGGCAGGUAAUAACGUGUACGUAGUCCGACUUUUUAAAAUCCUGUCUAGGUGCUCUUAAUUGAGUGUCGUGGCGGGCCGGCACGUUUACUUUGAACAAAUUAGAGUGCUUAAAGCAGGCUUAUGUUGCCUGAAUAUAGUGUGCAUGGAAUAAUGAAACAGGACCUCGGUUCUAUUUUGUUGGUUUUCUGAUCAAACGAGGUAAUGAUUAAUAGGGACAGAUGGGGGCAUUCGUAUUGCGACGUUAGAGGUGAAAUUCUUGGAUCG
rnacentral:rRNA from 1 species